UGGAAAGCUUUUGCGGGUGUGGGAUGGGCCCGCGGCCUAUCAGCUUGUUGGUGGGGUAAUGGCCUACCAAGGCGACGACGGGUAGCCGGCCUGAGAGGGUGACCGGCCACACUGGGACUGAGAUACGGCCCAGACUCCUACGGGAGGCAGCAGUGGGGAAUAUUGCACAAUGGGCGCAAGCCUGAUGCAGCGACGCCGCGUGAGGGAUGACGGCCUUCGGGUUGUAAACCUCUUUCAAUAGGGACGAAGCGCAAGUGACGGUACCUAUAGAAGAAGGACCGGCCAACUACGUGCCAGCAGCCGCGGUAAUACGUAGGGUCCGAGCGUUGUCCGGAAUUACUGGGCGUAAAGAGCUCGUAGGUGGUUUGUCGCGUUGUUCGUGAAAACUCACAGCUUAACUGUGGGCGUGCGGGCGAUACGGGCAGACUAGAGUACUGCAGGGGAGACUGGAAUUCCUGGUGUAGCGGUGGAAUGCGCAGAUAUCAGGAGGAACACCGGUGGCGAAGGCGGGUCUCUGGGCAGUAACUGACGCUGAGGAGCGAAAGCGUGGGGAGCGAACAGGAUUAGAUACCCUGGUAGUCCACGCCGUAAACGGUGGGUACUAGGUGUGGGUUUCCUUCCUUGGGAUCCGUGCCGUAGCUAACGCAUUAAGUACU
rnacentral:rRNA from 1 species